ACGAGAACCAGAACGGGAACGGGCUAGGGGAAAGAGUGAGGUUUUAAAGACGAAGGCCAUCGAGGGUAGUCGAACUAAGGAACUAAGGGAGGGAACUCGAACGAACAGGAGUGGACAUCGGUGGGGGCGUCGAGCUAAGCGGACACGCCGGUAUCCCACUUGAAGCUGCCACCGAACAAACAGAGGAGCAUGCGGAGGAGCCAGAGGAGGAUCCGACCAUUACCGCUACCUCCCCAUCGUCCGGGUUCCACAUCGACGCGUUCCCUCCUCCACUCUAGUAGUUCGACGUGCCACAACAACGACAGUUAUAGGCACGUCCACUAAAACGGCACCUAAAGAAGAGGGUGUCGACGAAACUAGGUAGAAAUCAUACUCCUAUCACAUCAGCAAAAGACGGGGUCGCGGCCGGUCUGUGUAGGAGGUGUAGCCGUUGUAAGAAACUUGAAACUUCGCACAACGGGAUGUCGUCUUUAUUCCUCAAUGUACUUGACCCUUGCUAACCUAACCUGCACCCCUCUCUUUUUCCUUUACAAUGGAGCGACAACCGCCCUUUCUCAUCAUUUCGAGGUUGGAGUUAUAGCAGGAACUACUUCUCCAGCUUAAUACCGGUGAAUGUCCCAUACACAUACCACACAUAGAGUUCAGAGUUGAGAGUGUACCAACCAGAAGAUUAGAGGGAGAUCGACCGACUGUCACCCGUACGUGUUGAGAUAAGUGGGCUGCCACGAUCGCACGUACUUCCUAUCCGAAACUCGGGUAGUUAGCACACAUUGGAUGACUAGACGACUCAACUCCACAUACCAUAUACUAUUUUACGGCUAGACGACUCAACUCUACGUACUACCUAUCGGUGGCUCUACAUCUAAUUGGAAAAAAAAUUGUUUGUAUCUAGUUGAACUAAAGUGGCGAUAACGAAAAGUUAGUAGUUCGUGCGUCUAACAUCGAUCCUCGUUCUGGAAUAAUCUUACUUCAUUAGUAGACGAGGUCUCUCGGUCGCCACGUACCGACGAGUUCGCUGGUACGGAAUCCGCGUCGGUCGGCAGCCGCUGAACUGUUGACCCUAUACUAAAAGAAGAAAAGUAAAUGCCUGCCCUCCUGCUGGUUAGCCGGCCGCCGUUGAACUAUUUGAGUACCUUGCCCGUGGGAAGAGUUAGUGCAUGCCCUCCUGCCGGCGGCAGACCGCCGCUAAACUGUUGUACCUUAUCCCUAUAAAAAGAAAAGUUAGAUCCUGCCCCUCUUGUUAUAAGAUCCAGUAUUCAUAUACAAAGGUACCGUAUCCACCCAUUAAAACUGGUUCAUUCUGAAACCUACUAGAUUACCAACAUUAAUGUACUGAAUUUUCAAAUUACCAGUCUACAAAGAUUAAAAAC
rnacentral:rRNA from 1 species